GGUUAAGCGACUAAGCGUACACGGUGGAUGCCCUGGCAGUCAGAGGCGAUGAAGGACGUGCUAAUCUGCGAUAAGCGCCGGUAAGGUGAUAUGAACCGUUAUAACCGGCGAUUUCCGAAUGGGGAAACCCAGUGUGACUCGUCACACUAUCAUUAACUGAAUCCAUAGGUUAAUGAGGCGAACCGGGGGAACUGAAACAUCUAAGUACCCCGAGGAAAAGAAAUCAACCGAGAUUCCCCCAGUAGCGGCGAGCGAACGGGGAGGAGCCCAGAGCCUGAAUCAGCAUGUGUGUUAGUGGAAGCGUCUGGAAAGGCGCGCGAUACAGGGUGACAGCCCCGUACACAAAAGCGCAUGUGCUGUGAGCUCGAUGAGUAGGGCGGGACACGUGGUAUCCUGUCUGAAUAUGGGGGGACCAUCCUCCAAGGCUAAAUACUCCUGACUGACCGAUAGUGAACCAGUACCGUGAGGGAAAGGCGAAAAGAACCCCGGCGAGGGGAGUGAAAAAGAACCUGAAACCGUGUACGUACAAGCAGUGGGAGCACCCUUUGGGGUGUGACUGCGUACCUUUUGUAUAAUGGGUCAGCGACUUAUAUUCUGUAGCAAGGUUAACCGAAUAGGGGAGCCGGAGGGAAACCGAGUCUUAACCGGGCGUUAAGUUGCAGGGUAUAGACCCGAAACCCGGUGAUCUAGCCAUGGGCAGGUUGAAGGUUGGGUAACACUAACUGGAGGACCGAACCGACUAAUGUUGAAAAAUUAGCGGAUGACCUGUGGCUGGGGGUGAAAGGCCAAUCAAACCGGGAGAUAGCUGGUUCUCCCCGAAAGCUAUUUAGGUAGCGCCUCGUGAACUCAUCUCCGGGGGUAGAGCACUGUUUCGGCUAGGGGGCCAUCCCGGCUUACCAACCCGAUGCAAACUGCGAAUACCGGAGAAUGUUAUCACGGGAGACACACGGCGGGUGCUAACGUCCGUCGUGAAGAGGGAAACAACCCAGACCGCCAGCUAAGGUCCCAAAGUCAUGGUUAAGUGGGAAACGAUGUGGGAAGGCCCAGACAGCCAGGAUGUUGGCUUAGAAGCAGCCAUCAUUUAAAGAAAGCGUAAUAGCUCACUGGUCGAGUCGGCCUGCGCGGAAGAUGUAACGGGGCUAAACCAUGCACCGAAGCUGCGGCAGCGACACUCAGGUGUUGUUGGGUAGGGGAGCGUUCUGUAAGCCUG
rnacentral:rRNA from 1 species